GACGAACGCUGGCGGCGUGCUUAACACAUGCAAGUCGAACGGAAAGGCCCUGCUUUUGUUGGGUGCUCGAGUGGCGAACGGGUGAGUAAGACGUGAGUAACCUGCCCUUGACUGUGGGAUAACUGCAGGAAACUGGGGCUAAUACCGGAUAGGAGCUCCUGCUGCAUGGUGUUGGUUGGAAAGUUUCGGCGGUUGGGGAUUGACUCGCGGCUUAUCAGCUUGUUGGUGGGGUAGUGGCUUACUAAGGUUUUGGCGGGUAGCCGGCCUGAGAGGGUGACCGGCCACAUUGGCACUGGGGUACGGGCCAGACUCCUACGGGAGGCAGCGGUGGGAAAUAGUGCACGAUGGGCGGAAGCCUGAUGCAGCAACUCCGCGUGCUGGAUGACUGCUUUCAGGUUGUAAACCGCUUUCGCCUGUAACGAAGAGUGAGUGACGGUAAUGUGUAAAGAAGCAACGGCUAACUACGUG
rnacentral:rRNA from 1 species